AGGGCAGGGAUUGGAAACACAAUGUCAAUUUUUGCUUGCUUGUUUUCUGGGAAAGUUAAGGAUUCACGAAAGCAGGGCCUGAGCCGUGGGUGCCCUUUGGUUUCUCCCACUGCCGGAUGAGUGUCCUGGACGCCUGAAUGAGCCAAAGAACAAGAUUCGGCAGGAGAUUCUCCCGGGAUUAGACACAGACUUCAGCUACCCAGAAACUUCAAGUCAGUCUAGCUGAAUUUCCCUCCACUGGAAGAACAAGAGUGAAAGACAGCCCGUUCCCAGAGUGCCCCGUCGAAAAGCCCGGCAUUUGCCCUCCCCUGUAAUUUCAUCCUGAAUCCUAACCAACAUUCCCGCCUCCAGCUGUGACCUGGGAAGCAGACCCUGCCUGGAUCCCGGAGGACGAUGGCUCCAAUAGUUGGCGAAAUGAUCCCGGGCUGUCUGGAGCUGCCCUGUGCGACUGUGGCGCCGAGGCUCCGUUCAUCAAAGGAGAUCAAGGGGCUAUUUCUAGAUCUUUGAAUGAAAGGCAGUAACUGGCUGAGCACAGUCACCGGAGGAUGCCUCCAUCCCGCCCGCUCCCUCAGGGAAGCAGGACAAAGCUGCCCCGAGCCCGGAGAAGCCUGCUCAGAGAUGGCCAUGUUUGGAAGAAUGGCACAGAAGGCACAGCCUGGCUUGGGACAGGCACGGAGACCUCAGCAAGCCCUUGGAGCUCUCUCCUGCUGCAGGUCACUUUCUAAGAUGGCGAGUGACAGAGGCAUCACGUGGUAGAUGGAAGCCCUCUCGGGAAGGGCACUGCAUGGAGGCUAUCACAGGUCCACGAAGAAACCCCAAAAGGUGGCAUUGACACGGCCAUUGAAAGUGUGCAGAUAGGUUUCAAAAGUAGAAUUUGAACCCGAGCCUUUCUAAGUCCGAGGUCUGAACACUGCACUCCCCCUCAUGGAGGAAGUCAAGUAAGAUGGAAGAAUGCUCCCACUCACUCACUAAUAUUUCUAUUAAUGGAAAGGCUGCACUAGAACAGUUCUGAGAAACUUUGUUGGCAGGAUUGCAGAAGACCACCAGAGGAAGCAGGCUACAUUUCGGGACCCGGUCAAGGAGGGAGGCUCCCAGAAUCCUGGGGGGCUCCUCGCUGAAGCUGCCUUCCAAAGGGGUAGCAUCACAGAUACUCCCAGGGCUACGGAGACCAGAGCUUGACCCCCCCUCCCCAGUUGGCUUUGUCUCCAAGCAGCUUUUGGUCCACAAUUCCGUUCUUUAAUUACUCCAUCCAUUCCUCUCGUGGGUAAAGAACUACGUCAGAUCUGGGAGCCCAAACUAUCCCAUCAGCCCCUGCCCUCAAGGAGCUUCAUGUUGUUUAGAAACGGUCCAGUUAAGCAAAUACAGACUAGCUGUUGGAGGAGGAGGAAUCAGGAAGGGCUUCAAGAAGGUGACAUCCAAGAGGAGCCUCAAAGGGACUCGGAGAUUUCAAGAGGCAAAAUGGUCUGGAAGGAGAGCGUUCCCAACAUGGGCAACAGGAGUAAAGAAUGGGAUGUCACAUAAGGGGAAGAACAAAUAGGCUAGUUUGUUAGGAAUGUAGAGGAAGCUCAAAAUGUGAAAUCAGGCUGAUAAAACAGCCUAGAAUCAGCAUUGGGAAGGGUGCUGAAUGGCAAACAGAGUUCAUAUUUUGUCAAAGAGGCCAUUAGAGAGGGAGCACAUAGGUGGCUCAGUGGAAAGAGACAGGAGGGUCUGAGUUCAAAUGUGACCUCAAACACUUCCUAACUAUGUGACCCUGGGCAAGUCACUUUACCCCCAUUGCCUAGCACUUACUGCUCUUCUGCCUUGGAAUCAAUACUCAGUAUUGAUUCUAAGCUCAUUCUAAGAUGGAAGAAAAGGGUUUUAAAAAAAAUAAGAAGAGAAUAGGGAGCCAGUGCAGUUGCUUGAGCAGAGGAGCGGUAGAGUCAAACAUGCAUUAGGAAUAUCAAUUUGACAGCUGAGGAGAGGAAUGGAAUGGAGAGGGAAGACACUGGCAUGAGGGAGAUCAAUGAAGAGGCAGUUGCUAUAGUCUUCUCCAGAGUGAUUGAGACUGAACUAAGAUGGUGACCUUCUGAGCAAAGAAAAGGCAUCAGACUAAGUGGGUGAUUAUAGUUUUGACAUAAAGAGUUCCAAAAUAAGAGGGCCAAAGUAAUUGUUAAUGCUUUAUCUUGAAAAACUAUUGCAACAUUUGGUGUUGUUAGGUGUUAAGCUGUGAAUGUGUUCACAGAAGAAGCUCUGGAAGGGAUCCUAGUAACCAUCUGGACUAAACAUCUCAUUUUACAGCUAAAGAAACUGAGGUUUAAAGAGUAACAGGAGCUCAAAGGGACCCAUCACCAUAUUUAGUUCAACUUGUUCCUAUUACAGUUGAGGAAACUGAGGACAAAAGAAUAAAAUGACUUAGGCUCACAAAAGCUAGUAAAAUGGCAAACCUGGAAUUCAGGACUUGGGACUGGAAAGGACCUCAGUUCAUCUAGAACAACUCCUUUGUUUUACAGAUGAAGGAACUGAAGACCAGGGGAGUUACAUGACUUCCAUCAUAGGAUCCUAGAUCCAGAGCUGGAAGGAACCCAAGAGGACAUCUGGUACAACCUCUAAUUUUAAAGAUGAGGAAACUGAGGCCCAGAGAGGGAAGAGACUGACCCAGGUUCACAUGACCAGUCAUUGAUAGACCUAGAACUCAUGAUUUUAUAUCUUAGAACUGCAACGUCACUCAAAAGCCUUGUAGCCUAACUCCUUCAUUCUACAGUGGGGAAACAGAGUCCCAGAGAUUCAAUAACAUGUCCUGGGUCACAUAGUUAGUGCCACAUUGAUUCUCUAAGUAAAAGCUUACUGGGGAAGGAAAGAUUUUAUUAAGAUGCAGAACUCUGAUUGACCAGCGUUCACAACCCACCCACACCCAGGAACAUAGACAUCCACUCCUACUAGUCACAUCGCAUCGCUCCUUUCAGUGACCUGCAAAAGCAGAGAUGAACAACAGACUGGUCCCCAGCGUGAGCGAGCAGGUUUUUGGCUAGAGCCCGAGUGAGAGCUCAGAGGAACACACACACACACACACACACACUGCUUGUUUAAACAGGUUACCACAUUGCUUUGUUUUCACCCACACCCCAUUCUGAACAGAAAACAGCUCACUUUGACAGGUGACAUCAGGUAAAACAUUCCAGCGACUUUCUCAGCCAAAACCCAACUGGAGGGAGACAGCUCCAGAAGGAGCCCAGGGAGCUCUCCCUCUCCCCCUCCCUCCCUCCCUCCCUCCUUCUCUCUCCCUUUCUCCCUUUUCUCUGUCUCUGUCUCUGUCUCAGUCUCUCUUUUCUCUGGCUAUGGCUGUCUCAUCUCUUUUUCUCUGGCUCUUGCUGUCUCUCAUCUCUUUCUCUCUCUGUGUCUCUUUUUCUCUGUCUCUGUCUCUACUCUGUCUCUUUCUCUCCACCUCUGUCUCUAUCUCUAUCUCUGUCUCUGUCUCUGUCUCUGUCUCUCUCUCUCUCUCUCUCUCUCUCUCUCUCUCUCUCUCUGUCUUUCUGUCUCUCUGUCUCUCUCUCUCUCUCUCUCUCUGUCUCUCUGUCUCUCUCUUUUCUCUGGCUAUGGCUGUCUCAUCUCUUUUUCUCUGGCUCUUUCUCUAUCUCUCCUUUUCUCUGGCUCUGGCUCUCUGUCUCUCAUCUCUUUCUCUCUCUGUGUCUCUUUUUCUCUGUCUGUCUCUACUCUCUGUCUCUUUCUCUCCACCUCUCUUUCUCUCUUCUCUCUCUCUCUCUCUCUCUCUCUCUCUCUCUCUCUCUCUCUCUCUCUGUCUCUCUCUCUCUGUCUCUCUGUCUCUCUCUCUCUCUGUCUCUCUCUCUCUUUUUCUCUGGCUCUUUCUCUAUCUCUCCUCUUCUCUGGCUCUGGCUCUCUGUCUCUCAUCUCUUUCUCUCUCUGUGUCUCUUUUUCUCUGUCUGUCUCUACUCUCUGUCUCUUUCUCUCCACCUCUCUGUCUCCCUGUCUCUAUCUCUGUCUGUCUGUCUUUUUAGGAAGGCAGGGGCUUCCAGGGCUGCACACGUAGCAGGUGAAAACCUCACCAGUGAAAUUGGGGUGAUGGAAGGUCACCCAAACAACAGCAGGAGAGCGUAAUCCUAAGCACAAAUCUUUGAACUGAGGAAAUGGGUUUCCUGGGGGCAGGGCUGGGGAGGAUGUCGAGCUUCAGGUCAAAAAUACAAGAUUUUCAAUCUGAAAGUCACGUUUGCUAGGAAUGCCCCCUUUGUUGGUCCACCCCAGAGAGCUCCCAGGGGCGUGAUUGGUAGAAAAUGAGCAGAUACACAAACGUUCUUAUCUUAUUUGAGGACAAAAGCUGUGAGGUUGGGGAUGCUGCUGUCCCCGUUUUGCAGAUGAGCAAAUAGGUGGCAAACUCCAAGCUCCAUAUGUGAACCCAGAGCUUUCUGAUUCCUGAGCCAAUGUUCUAGCCACUAAGUUGAGGCCCUGAUUGCCAUGAACAGCAAAAGUCCCCUUAAUGCUGGUGCCUCACCCUAGAGAUCAUCUCCAGUGAGUCCCUGUUUGUUCACAGUUGUUUGCAUAUAGUCUUCCAUUCUCUUCCAUUCGAUUGGGAGUUAUUGGAGGGCAGGGACUGUGUUUUGCCCUUUUCUAUAUUCCUAAUGUCUGGCCCAUUUUCUUUUAAACCCUCACCUUCCAUCUUAGAAUCAAUACUGUCUUUUGGUUCUAAGGCAGAAGAGCUACUGGGCUAAGCAAUGGGGGUUAAGUGACUUGCCCAGGGUCAUAUAGCUAGGAAGGAUCUGUGGCCAAAUUUGAACCCAGGACCUCCCAUCUCUAGGUCUGGCUCUCAAUCCACUAAACUACCCAGCUGACCCCAUUUUUGUUGUUUCUCAGUCAUGUUCAUCUCUUGAUGACCCCAUUUGGGGUUUUCUUGAUGAUACUGGAAUGACUUGUCAUUUCCUUCUCCAGCUCAUUUUACAGAUGAAGAAAGUGAGGCAGUUUGGAAGUUUUCUUGGCAAAGAUACUGGAGUGGUUGGCCAUUUCCUUCUCUAGCUCAUUUUACAGAUGAAGAAACUGAGGCAGUUUGGGAGUUUUCUUGGCAAAGAUCCAGGAGAGGUUGGCCAUUUCCUUCUCCAGCUCAUUUUACAGAUGAGAAAAGUGAAGCCAACAGGGUGAAGUGACUUGCCUAGUCACAUAGCUACUAACUAUCUGAUACUAGAUUUGAACUCAGGGCUUCCUGACUCCAGGCCCAGUUCUACCCACUGGGCCAUCUCACUGCCUGUCAAGAGUCAGUGCUUAAUAAAUGUGUUUGGAUUUGACCUAAUUUGACUUUCCUAUUUUGCAGCCUCCAUCAAGGAAGGGGACACAGAAAAGGUGUGCCGCUACUUUGGAUUUCCUGGGUCAGCACCAAAAUAAAACCAUCACCAAGCCAGA